rnacentral:misc_RNA from 1 species
GUGGCAAAGUUGAUUGAACUGAAUAUUGUGUGUUUGCCAUUUGGUAGGACUUACGGUUAGGAUGGGUUUUCAUUUUUCAACCCUUUCUAUAUAUCACAUAUAGCUUGGUUGAAUACAUAAAGCAGAGAUUUAGUUGGCAAUAGAAACCCUGCUGGUGAGAUAAAGUUGGAGCAUUCGAGAAAGAAUGUCGGAGAAAAGAUAUAAAUUUUGAAUAUUUUCAUUUUUGCUGAUAUUGUAUAAAUUUUAGAUUGUGGAUGACAUCAGUUAAAAGAAAAAAAGUAAUUUACUGAAUGUGUUAUCUAUUUUCUCUUAGAAUAAUAAAGGAAAUUGGUAUAUCUAAGUGUUGAAGGGUUAUUGAUCUGUGUAUAUUUUGCCUUUUCAUAUAAUUCAAUGCUUUACUGGAGUGUCUACUGCUUGUCUAAAAUUUGAAUUGAUACAUGCAUCAUUUUGUGAUUUUAGGGAAUUCGGCAAUUUGGGACUG